UCUACGGGUGGCAGCAGUGGGGGAUAUUGCACAAUGGGGGAAACCCUGAUGCAGCGACGCCGCGUGGGUGAAGAAGCGCCUCGGCGCGUAAAGCCCUGUCAGCAGGGAAGAAAAUGACGGUACCUGAAGAAGAAGCCCCGGCUAACUACGUGCCAGCCGCCGCGGUAAUACGUAGGGGGCAAGCGUUAUCCGGAUUUCCUGGGUGUAAAGGGGGAGCAGACGGCGAUGCAAGCCAGGAGUGAAAUCCCGGGGCCCAACCCCGGGACUGCUCGUGGAACUGCGUGGCUAGAGUGCAGGAGGGGCAGGUGGAAUUCCUGGGGGAGCGGUGAAAUGCGUAGAUAUCAGGAGGAACACCGGUGGCGAAGGCGGCCUGCUGGACUGCAACUGACGUUGAGGCCCGAAAGCGUGGGGAGCAAACAGGAUUAGAUACCCGGGUAGUC
rnacentral:rRNA from 1 species